CGGGCAGUAGCUCAGUGGUAGAGCUCCCUCUUCGUAUUCGGGAAGACCUGGGUUCGAUUCCCGGCAGCCUAG
rnacentral:tRNA from 1 species